AUUGAACGCUGGCGGCAGGCCUAAUACAUGCAAGUCGAACGGUGUAGCAAUACACAGUGGCGCACGGGUGCGUAACACGUAUGCAACCUACCUUACAUUGGGGGAUAGCCUUUCGAAAGGGAGAUUAAUACCGCAUAAGACAGUAACUUGGCAUCAAGUAGCUGUUAAAGAUUUAUCGAUGUAAGCUGGGCAUGCGUCCAAUUAGUUAGUUGGCGAGGUAAUGGCUCACCAAGACGAUGAUUGGUAGGGGAACUGAGAGGUCAAUCCCCCACACUGGCACUGAGAUACGGGCCAGACUCCUACGGGAGGCAGCAGUAGGGAAUAUUGGGCAAUGGACGCAAGUCUGACCCAGCCAUGCCGCGUGCAGGAAGAAGGCGUUAUGCGUUGUAAACUGCUUUUAUAUAGGAAGAAACGACCCUUGCGAGGGGCAUUGACGGUACUAUAUGAAUAAGCACCGGCUAACUUCGUGCCAGCCGCCGCCGUAACAC
rnacentral:rRNA from 1 species